rnacentral:rRNA from 1 species
UAAAGAUUCAUCGCUGAUAGAUAGGCAUGCGUUCCAUUAGGCAGUUGGCGGGGUAACGGCCCACCAAACCGACGAUGGAUAGGGGUUCUGAGAGGAAGGUCCCCCACAUUGGUACUGAGACACGGACCAAACUCCUACGGGAGGCAGCAGUGAGGAAUAUUGGUCAAUGGGCGCGAGCCUGAACCAGCCAAGUCGCGUGAGGGAUGAAGGUUCUAUGGAUCGUAGACCUCUUUUAUAAGGGAAUAAAGUGUGGGACGUGUCUUAUUUUGUAUGUACCUUAUGAAUAAGGAUCGGCUAACUCCGUGCCAGCAGCCGCGGUAAUACGGAGGAUCCGAGCGUUAUCCGGAUUUAUUGGGUUUAAAGGGUGCGUAGGCGGCCUUUUAAGUCAGCGGUGAAAGUCUGUGGCUCAACCAUAGAAUUGCCGUUGAAACUGGGGGGCUUGAGUAUGUUUGAGGCAGGCGGAAUGCGUGGUGUAGCGGUGAAAUGCUUAGAUAUCACGCAGAACCCCGAUUGCGAAGGCAGCCUGCCAAGCCAUGACUGACGCUGAUGCACGAAAGCGUGGGGAUCAAACAGGAUUAGAUACCCUGGUAGUCCACGCAGUA